GACGAACGCUGGCGGCGUGCUUAACACAUGCAAGUCGAACGCUGAAGCUCAGCUUUUGUUGGGUGGAUGAGUGGCGAACGGGUGAGUAACACGUGAGUAACCUGCCUCCUUCUUUGGGAUAACGCCCGGAAACGGGUGCUAAUACUGGAUAUUCACUGGUCUUCGCAUGGGGGUUGGUGGAAAGGGUUUUUCUGGUGGGGGAUGGGCUCGCGGCCUAUCAGCUUGUUGGUGGGGUGAUGGCCUACCAAGGCUUUGACGGGUAGCCGGCCUGAGAGGGUGACCGGUCACAUUGGGACUGAGAUACGGCCCAGACUCCUACGGGAGGCAGCAGUGGGGAAUAUUGCACAAUGGGCGCAAGCCUGAUGCAGCGACGCCGCGUGAGGGAUGGAGGCCUUCGGGUUGUGAACCUCUUUCGCUCAUGGUCAAGCCGCAACAAUGGUUGUGGUGAGGGUAGUGGGUAAAGUAGCGCCGGCUAACUACGUG
rnacentral:rRNA from 1 species